UUGGGGGCUGAUUCAUUUAGGAGUAUUUUUGAGAUUAAAAAUCGUGAUGAGAUUCGGAUUAUUGGUGGUUAAUUAAUUAUUUCAUUUCAAAGAUUGGGUUUUUCCUUUUAGAUUGCACAGUUGCCGAUUCUGUUUCAUACUGUAUUAGUCAACCACAAUCGUUCUUCGCACAUCGAUCUCUGCCUUCGUCGUCCACAGUGCACAAUGUCCGACGCCCGUAUUUUCCAGUGACGACACCGGAGUAUUGGUGCCACCGACUUGUUUGGAGGUUCCAAGGCUAAAAAAUCCUACUCUAUUGAAUUGGUGCAGGCUAACGCCAUGUCAAUGGGUGCCACUUCUGAUUGUGUUAUUUUCCCGGAGCAUGCUAAUACCACGUCAAUGGGUGCCACUUCUGAAUGUGUUGGAAGAUGCUUACAUUAUAUUAAAUUUGUCUCUUAAAGUAGAGAGUGAAGAGAUAAAUGAGCACAAAAUAUUACACUGUAAAGUUUAAGUAUGAAAAACAAAUGUCUUUAACAUUUUCGACAUUGAAGUCAACAUCAAGUAAUGGGAAUCUACUAUCAAGUAUUUAUGCUUGGUUUUAUUUCACGCCA